CGGGGUAUAGUAUAGUGGUAGUACGCGCGCUUCGGGUGCGUGAAGUCUGGGUUCGAUUCCCGGUACCCCGA
rnacentral:tRNA from 1 species